UGUGUCUGGUUAAGUCCUGCCCAGAUCGCUGUACUGCAGGAAUGUAAAACGAUCCAAGGGAUUUGCUUCAAGCCACUAAGGUUGCAGGAAUUUGAUAUUCAAUACAGAGGACGAGAGAAAUAUCAGCCUCAUGAACAGAUGAGACCUUCAGGCUCGCUUGAGGGUAUAGUGAGUGCUUUCCUGUGGAAGCUGCCUCUGAGAUUGAAACAUUGUAUCUUGAAGAGAAGUUCUUUAAACAAGGAGCUAAACAAAGCAAAGCCAGGAAGUUCUUGAAACUGACCAGAUUCAGCAGGCCCUUCCCUCCCAGAGUUAUAAAAGCUGAGUCCCUGUUUAGUCUUGCUGAGCUUCUGAGAAGACUUUCAGACAAGCAAAGCUGCAAAGGAGACCCCGAGACCAGACAAGCCACCUGGAAGAAUUGGAAAGUAACCCAGCCAGCUGCCUGGAGGAGGUUUAGACCAGCGUUGCUUGGAAAGGACCCUCUCAAACCUGUUGAGUUGCCUGCAAGGCUGUGCCCUGUGCUCCAGGUUUCCAGCUUUUUUGAGUUGUCACCCAUGCUGGGGUGAGCACUGAUGAUGUAGCUGUCUUGGAGUCAUUUCUGCUCCCUUGAUCAUAUCCCCAUAUGAGUUCUCAGUUACUGCUCUGACACUGUUCCUGCCUGCUUGUUGCCACGCUCCCCACCAUGAUGGAAUCCAACCAUUUGAAACGGCAUUCCAUCAUGAGACAUUCCCAUGAAGAUGGUCUGCCUCACAAAAACCCAGAAUGCGACAGAGCCAACUGAUCAUGGAUGGAACCCUCUGAAACUAGUAAGUUAAAAUGAGUUUUUCUUCUUUGAAAUUUUAUAUUU